GUGAGAGGCGACUGCUUUUCAGAAGGUAGAUCUUUUCUGUCAUCAAUAAACUGUCUUUUCCUUGCUGUCAGCCCUGUAUUCUGGCACUAUAUGCUCCUUGUUCUAUUGGCUGCUAACAUUUCUGUAAAAAGAGAUCUAACUGUCAAGAGUUCAAGAUUCCAGUGGUCUGUGAAGUCCCACCACCGAUCUACUCUCCAGAGUUGUGUUUGAAUCAGAGUUUGUGGGGUUUCCAUGAUGGCUCAUGGUAAAGAAUGCUGCCAAUGCAGGGGACAUGACUUCAAUCCUGGUCCAGGAGGAUCCCACGUGCGUCAGAGGAACUAAGCCCUUGCACCACAAUCAUUGAGCCUGUGGUCUGGAGCCUGGGGUCCACAGAUGCUGAGCCCACGCUCUGCCACUUCGGCAGCCCAUGACAGGAGAAGCCGCUGUGAGAGGAAGGCCGUGCCCCGCAACCAGACAGUGCGCCCCGCUCACCGCAACCAGAGCAAAGCCCGUGUAGCAGCAAGGACCCAGCACAGCCCCACCCAAGAAAAGAGCCUGUGCAAGACCAGCCGAAGCCCACUCCGUGUUGUCCCUCCCCACCCCGUGGCCUGAGCAGUGGGCGCUGCAGGCCAGCCCUCGGGGGCACUGCGGAGUGGGCAGCGAGCUCGCCUGCCCGCCUGUGGACUAGGCCACCACCUCAGAUGGAGCAGCCUUGCACUCAGUUGCUGACGUCACCCAUUCACCGUGACGUCCUCCUUGGUCAGAGCCUGCUCACUGCCACCUGCCUUUCCCUUUUAAUCUCUUCAGAAUGUGCAGACGUGGCGAUCAGACACGACCUCCCGAGUGUUCACAGGAAACGGUGCUGCGCACGGGCAGAGCUGCCCGGGUGAGCAUCCGCCAUCAGACCCCCCGACUGAGCUCCGUUUGUGCCGGGAAUGGGUCGUCUCCAGAAUGCAGAGGAGAGUCUGUCACGCAGACCGAUGGUGAGAAGUUCACAGGAAUCUUGGCUCUUGGAAGCUGCCUGGGUCUGGUUAGUGGAGGCUCCAGGAGUGAAAUGGCCGACCACAGGCGGCGGCAGCAAACUGCCGUACAGCUCGCUGCCGAGGGUUCCUGGAGGAAGCAACGGUGACAGAGCUGGGUUUUCAGUGGCAACAAUGGCAUGAGCUGUCGACAGAAGUUUCUCCCAGGUUCUCUUUGAUUCCUAAUGUAGACGCCCUCACUUUUCCUUCUGUAGAUGUACUGCUCCACUGGGAAGUAAAGGCUGGUGCCAUCUAAGGGCUCCUGCUGCAAGGAACGUGAUGAUGUCCCCCUGCAUUUGCCGGGCAUCAAGGACCCAGAAUAGUGUAAAAGAUUCACUUCAAGGUAUGACAAGAAUCCAGACAGUGCCAUAUGGACCACUGUCUGGGUAGUGUGGGAAAAGCCUGAGAAGAUGUUUUAGAGAAGCCAGAUAAUCUUUCUGAUAAAAGAAACUUGACUUUCAUUCAGUUGGUAGAAAUAACACGAUGAGCUUUACUCUUUAGAGGUUUAACAUUUUUUUAAAUAAUAUUUUGACAUUUAUGAGAAACUUAUAAUACAUGUACAAGGUUCAAGAACCUAAAAAUAUAAAAUAUUUUAUAUUA